ACGAGUGGCGGACGGGUGAGUAACACGUGGGUAACCUGCCCUUAAGUGGGGGAUAACAUUUGGAAACAGAUGCUAAUACCGCAUAGAUCCAAGAACCGCAUGGUUCUUGGCUGAAAGAUGGCGUAAGCUAUCGCUUUUGGAUGGACCCGCGGCGUAUUAGCUAGUUGGUGAGGUAAUGGCUCACCAAGGCGAUGAUACGUAGCCGAACUGAGAGGUUGAUCGGCCACAUUGGGACUGAGACACGGCCCAAACUCCUACGGGAGGCAGCAGUAGGGAAUCUUCCACAAUGGACGCAAGUCUGAUGGAGCAACGCCGCGUGAGUGAAGAAGGCUUUCGGGUCGUAAAACUCUGUUGUUGGAGAAGAAUGGUCGGCAGAGUAACUGUUGUCGGCGUGACGGUAUCCAACCAGAAAGCCACGGCUAACUACGUGCCAGCAGCCGCGGUAAUACGUAGGUGGCAAGCGUUAUCCGGAUUUAUUGGGCGAAAAGCGAGCGCAGGCGGUUUUUUAAGUCUUGAUGUGAAAAGCCCUCGGCUUAACCGAGGAAGCGCAUCGGAAACUGGGAAACUUGAAGUGCAGAAGAGGACAGUGGAACUCCAUGUGUAGCGGUGAAAUGCGUAGAUAUAUGGAAGAACACCAGUGGCGAAGGCGGCUGUCUGGUCUGUAACUGACGCUGAGGCUCGAAAGCAUGGGUAGCGAACAGGAUUAGAUACCCUGGUAGUCCAUGCCGUAAACGAUGAAUGCUAGGUGUUGGAGGGUUUCCGCCCUUCAGUGCCGCAGCUAACGCAUUAAGCAUUCCGCCUGGGGGAGUACGACCGCAAGGUUGAAACUCAAAGGAAUUGACUGGGGGCCCGCACAAGCAGAAGCAGCAUGUGGUUUAAUUUCGAAGCAACGCGAAGAACCAUAACCAGGUCUCGACAUCUUUUGAUCACCUGACAGAUCAGGUAUCCCCUUCGGGGGCAAAAUGACAGGUGGUGCAUGGUUGUCGUCAGCUCGUGUCGUGAGAUGUUGGGUUAAGUCCCGCAACGAGCGCAACCCUUAUGACUAGUUGCCAGCAUUUAGUUGGGCACUCUAGUAAGACUGCCGGUGACAAACCGGAGGAAGGUGGGGAUGACGUCAAAUCAUCAUGCCCCUUAUGACCUGGGCUACACACGUGCUACAAUGGAUGGUACAACGAGUUGCGAGACCGCGAGGUCAAGCUAAUCUCUUAAAGCCAUUCUCAGUUCGGACUGUAGGCUGCAACUCGCCUACACGAAGUCGGAAUCGCUAGUAAUCGCGGAUCAGCACGCCGCGGUGAAUACGUUCCCGGGCCUUGUACACACCGCCCGUCACACCAUGAGAGUUUGUAACACCCGAAGCCGGUGGCGUAACCCUUUUAGGGAGCGAGCCGUCUAAGGUGGGACAAAUGAUUAGGGUGAAGUCGUAACAAG
rnacentral:rRNA from 1 species